UACAGAGGUCUCGAGCGUUAGGCGGAAUCACUGGGCUUAAAGCGUGUGUAGGCGGAUCGUUAAGUACCUUGUGAAAUCCCACGGCUUAACCGUGGAACUGCUUGGUAUACUGGCGGUCUUGAGCCAGCGAGGGGCUACCGGAACAAAUGGUGGAGCGGUGAAAUGCGUAGAUAUCGGGAGGAACAUCAGUGGCGAAGGCGGCUACCUGGCCCAAUACUGACACUCAGGUGCGACAGCGUGGGGAGCAAACAGG
rnacentral:rRNA from 1 species